rnacentral:rRNA from 1 species
UACGAAGGGGGCUAGCGUUGUUCGGAAUUACUGGGCGUAAAGCGCGCGCAGGCGGUUUCUCAAGUCAGUGGUGAAAGCCCGGAGCUCAACUCCAGAACUCCUUCGAAACUGGAGAGCUCGAGUCCGGGAGAGGUGAGUCGAACUGCGAGUGUAGAGGUGAAAUUCGUAGAUAUGCGCAAGAACACCAGUGGCGAAGGCGGCUCACUGGCCCGGUACUGACGCUGAGGUGCGAAAGCGUGGGGAGCAAACAGG